AUCCAAAAUUCAUAAAAUGAGUUCCAGUCGUGGUGCCAGGAGAAAAUCUCCUGCUGGUUCUACUAGACUCAAACCAAAUCCCAACUUCUUUAAUUCUCCUAGUCAAAGUGAUGGGGUAGGUAAGGAGGGGAGUGUACCAGAGUCCUUAUUGAAACAAGUUCGUAAAACCGGUUCACUGAACCUGUCAAACAGCCGGUAGGAGGCUGUGUGAGACUUGUAGCAUGUUUUUUUAAUUCACCAAAAAUUACCAAAUGAUUUUUUUUUGAUUUUCAUUUUUAUGACGCAUUAAUGAACAUGCGGAUGUAUGAAAGUUAGUGGGUGAAUGUGUAUAAUUACAGGGGCAUUAGUGUUAUUCCUCCUAAAUUGUGGAGACUCAAUAUUGAUCCUCCUGAUGGUAGUACUGCUUCAUUUGAUGUUGAUGAGAGAUGGUGGGACCAGGUUGAAGUGACUAAACUGGAUCUAUCAUCUAACGAAAUCAAAGAAAUAUCUGAAGAUAUUGAAAACUUUAAUUCAUUGUCAGCGCUUGAGGUCCAGUACAAUGAGUUAACAUGUCUACCUAAUAAUGUGAUCAAACUGGAUAAACUAUGUAAAAUAUUUGCAAGUCUCUGCUAUAUGUUAGGAAGGUUUGAGUCUCUUCAUUAUCUUCUCUUUGAUGUUCUCCUCUUAAUUAAAUGAAUGAGAGCUGACAUCCUCCGGAAAGGAACAGUAUUGGUCCUCUAGUAUCUCUUGUAUUGAAGAACCAGGAGACCACAUGUGACGGCCAACCUCUCCCUCGUCCCUCAAGAUCCCCUCGUGACCAUACAAGUGAGAGAUCAUGUGACUUUUGAUGAUAGUCAUGUGAUGUUGUGUAGAGGUUCCCUGUCAUGGACUGGUGAUAUAUUAGUGGGUCAAUAUUAGAGUGGAACCCACGUCUACCAGGAGACUAUUAGACCACACCCAGGAGGUCUGUGGGAUUCACUGGUCACCAAAUCAUCAGUAACUGGUGUCAGGAGGAAAUGAUAAUAUAGGUCUUGUUGGAUACUUUGUCAUUGGGUUUGAGGUUCCCUCUUAUCCUGUGUACUUCAGUACUAGUCCACAAGAUACACCCACUCACUGGCAUCAGAGGAUAUUCUUCCUCAAUGAACCCAUACAAGUUCAAACAGUGAUCUAUUACGUGGUUGCUAUAAGAGCAAGGAUUGUUCAAGAUCACUUGAUAUCAAGAUACAGAUGAUGUUAUUUCCACUCUCAAAAGAAUCCCAAGUACUAGAACACAUGUACACUAUCAUCAUGUGUGUUUAGUUU
rnacentral:lncRNA from 1 species